rnacentral:ncRNA from 1 species
AAGAUUAGAUUUCCCAUCUGGUUAACAGAGUAAGAUCCCAGGAAGACUACCUGGUAGAUAGGUCACAGGUGUAAGGGCAGCAAUGUCUUCAGCUAAGUGAUACUAAUAGAUCGAGGACUUGACCAA